ACUCCCGCCUCUCAACCCAGGAAUCAGAGCCUGAGACAGACAGAUGCUUCAUUCCUGCAUGAGGUGGUAUUCCCGCCAUGAGUCCUGGGCUUCUCCACUGGAUGGCCCUUUGUCUCCUUGGAACAGGUCAUGGGGAUGUCAUGGUCAUCCAGAACCCAAGAUACCAGGUUACUCAGUUGGAAAAGCCAGUGACCUUGAGUUGUUCUCAGAAUCUGAACCAUAAGGUCAUGUACUGGUACCAGCAGAAGCCAAGUCAGGCCCCAAAGCUGCUGUUCCACUACUAUGACAAAGAUUUUAACAAUGAAGCAGACACCCCUGAUAACUUCCAAUCCAGGAGGCCAAACACUUCUUUCUGCUUUCUUGACAUCCGCUCACCAGGCCUGGAGGAUGCAGCUGUGUACCUGUGUGCCAGCAGCAAAGACACAGAGCUGCAGUGCUGCCUCCCCUUUGUUCAUAAACCUCAUUGUUUCCCAGAUCCAGGUGCUUUCUCUAGGACUUCUCCCCCGCCACCUCUCACAACAAUAGGAAGUGGGUUUGUGAAUGUCAAUAUCUCAUCUGUAGACAGAGUUGAGUACAAACCGAUAAAAACCAUUGACAGUUAUGCCAAGAAUGGAAAAGUGGUUAUACAUGCCUAA